UUGCAACAGCUGGAUGUUUUUACCUAAAUUGCCUUGGUGUAUAGAAAAAGGGAAUGACUGUACAUGGAAUAGAUAAGUAACUCAUGUAUCCAGGACAGACAUGCCAGACCUCCUUGGGAAGAUAUUGAUCUGUGUCUCAUCUUCAGGAACAGAGAGAUUCUGACUGGAUUUACAUUGCUAACUUGUGCAAGUCCUCCCAAAUGUGCACAACACUGCUGUCUGAGUCUGCAGGAGCCACUAUUCAGAGAUGUACAGAGGCUUCCAUGAAAUACACAACCCUCUGCUGAAGAAACCGCUUCAGACCGAGGGUGAAAGAACUGAUGGCAGCACCAAUAAGAAACUCCAGUAGAGACUGAGGGAGUGAGACAGUGCAGAGACACCAAAGGAGCUUCUGUGAGAAACAAAAAUAUCAGCAUUAUUGCCUGUCAUCAGAACCCCAGUGUAAAAUUCAGAGAGAAAAAACGCAACUGGAGAAAGUAUGUCCAAACAUGAGAACUCUUUCUGUGUUUAACAGUGAAGCAGCAGAUAUUUUAGACUCCAUCGUCAAAAGCUGCAUGAAAAAUCAUUUCAAAGCUGCUCUGAGGUGGGAUGGAUGAUUCUCGACUUU
rnacentral:lncRNA from 1 species